UUCCUUUUUUUCUUUCUUUUCUUACCCCCCCCCACUUUCUUCUUCAUCUUGUUUAUGUUGUACGGAAUUGACAGCAUAUUGUCAGGGCAGAAAUAGUGAAGUACCCGGAAGAAGAUAAUCGACAUACCAACUCUGCUCAGAGUAGAAUCUGUUCAGUACAGUAGUGCAGAGGGUGGUGAAGGCAGAUAUUGUAAACUACAACCAGGAACCUCUGUCAAGAACUGUUAACCCUCCGAGGAGCUCUAUGUGUGCAGUUCAGUGAGCGCACUUUACCUUUGUACCAGUGGUCCUGGCGGCCCUUCACCCCGUGUGGCCCGGGGCCUCUAGAAGCUCUGUUAUCAGUGGCCAUCUCUGUAGUGUUCAGUUAGCACUUUCCUCCCAGCUUCCUCGGCUCCUCGGCCUGGAUGGGACUCAACUUCGGGGCGACACACUUGGAAUCCAUUAGACUGCUUCACUGAAAAAGAAUAAUGUUGGUUCUCUUUACGUUCUCCUUCUUUUUUCUCCGAUGUAAGCUUUUUUAGACAGAUACGGAAACUAUACAAGUCUUGAUCAGCAGCCAGGAUUUUGGCCCAGCACAGUUUCAUUCUCUUAUCUGAACUCCUACCUGGCAAAGUGCACUUCCGAGUGCAAACAUUUAAACAAGUAAUUUAUCUACAGGCAUUCUUUUGCUGUCUGUUGUGAGUGAAAAUAUAUAAAGUUGUAUUCAACUGAAAAUGCUUGAAAUAAAGCUGUAAUCUAUUUUUUCAUUUUUUUAAAAAGGGCCUAAAUUGCUUAUAUUGUUGCUGUAGCUCACAAAGUGGUGAGUAUUUGCUGUUGUAUUUUCAUUACUGUGUCAUGGUCAUUAUGUGUUGUGUGAUACUCAGGUUAGACGGCUUUCUGAAGUUUGAUAAGUGUUCAGCUGAUGUUUCCUCCAAACUGCAUAAGAGCACGCCCAGAACGAGUCUCGGCUGUUGUUGGAUCAUUGUGGAUCACACUGUAGCUGAUGUUCAGAUGUUCUUCUGCAAAUAAACUUAUUUCAGUUAC